rnacentral:rRNA from 1 species
UACGUAGGGUCGAGCGUUGUCCGGAAUUACUGGGCGUAAAGAGCUCGUAGGUGGUUUGUCGCGUUGUCCGUGAAAACUCACAGCUCAACUGUGGGCGUGCGGGCGAUACGGGCAGACUGGAGUACUGCAGGGGAGACUGGAAUUCCUGGUGUAGCGGUGGAAUGCGCAGAUAUCAGGAGGAACACCGGUGGCGAAGGCGGGUCUCUGGGCAGUAACUGACGCUGAGGAGCGAAAGCGUGGGGAGCGAACAGG